GAACCAGCUCGACCAUUUAAAAAGAGUGAAAGAUUUAAAGAAGAGACGUCGGGCCCAGGGGGAACAGGCACGAGCUGAACUCUUGAGCCUAACCCAGAUGGAGAGGGAGAAGAUUGUUUGGGAGUUUGAGCAGCUGUAUCACUCCUUAAAGGAGCAUGAGUAUCGCCUCCUGGCCCGCCUUGAGGAGCUAGACUUGGCCAUCUACAAUAGCAUCAAUGGUGCCAUCACCCAGUUCUCUUGCAACAUCUCCCACCUCAGCAGCCUGAUCGCUCAGCUAGAAGAGAAGCAGCAGCAGCCCACCAGGGAGCUCCUGCAGGACAUUGGGGACACAUUGAGCAGGUAUAGUUUUCUGUUUCCCUAGUGUUAAAUCAAAUAUGAGAAGACUGUCUCCUUCACAUUUGUAAAUCCUGAAAGGAGCCCUGAGCCUGAGGAUGGACAUCUUAUCAAAUUGACACAUAUCCCUGAAGAGAGUCACUAGUAUACAAAGAAUUAGAUGAACCACAGCUCUACUCAGUAAAAUUCAGGAAGUAGGGGGUUCAUGUGGGAGGCUGCCGGUGGAUUAGGGGUAUGAGGACACUUCCAUGGAGAGGGUGUGGCCUUACAGGGACCUGGGCUGAAUAUAAGGGUAGUUUAUGUCUAUUGCUUCCUAUACAUUUCAGAAUCCUUUCCCCCUUCAUUAUCUCAUUUUUUUUUUUUUCUGUAAUGGGGGAAAUAAAGCCUAAGAAAGGUG
rnacentral:misc_RNA from 1 species